GAUGAACGCUGGCGGCGUGCCUAAUACAUGCGAGUCGAGCGAACAGAUGAGGAGCUUGCUCCUCUGACGUUAGCGGCGGACGGGUGAGUAACACGUGGAUAACCUACCUAUAAGACUGGGAUAACUUCGGGAAACCGGAGCUAAUACCGGAUAAUAUAUUGAACCGCAUGGUUCAAUAGUGGAAGACGGUUUUGCUGUCACUUAUAGAUGGAUCCGCGCCGCAUUAGCUAGUUGGUAAGGUAACGGCUUACCAAGGCAACGAUGCGUAGCCGACCUGAGAGGGUGAUCGGCCACACUGGAACUGAGACACGGUCCAGACUCCUACGGGAGGCAGCAGUAGGGAAUCUUCCGCAAUGGGCGAAAGCCUGACGGAGCAACGCCGCGUGAGUGAUGAAGGUCUUCGGAUCGUAAAACUCUGUUAUUAGGGAAGAACAAAUGUGUAAGUAACUAUGCACGUCUUGACGGUACCUAAUCAGAAAGCCACGGCUAACUACGUG
rnacentral:rRNA from 1 species